AUUGAACGCUGGCGGCAGGCCUAACACAUGCAAGUCGAACGAGUGGCGGACGGGUGAGUAAUGUCUGGGAAACUGCCCGAUGGAGGGGGAUAACUACUGGAAACGGUAGCUAAUACCGCAUACCAUCGGAUGUGUCCAGAUGGGAUUAGCUUGUAGGUGAGGUAGCGGCUCACCUAGGCGACUAUUCCUAGCUGGUCUGAGAGGAUGACACGACACACGGGAACUGAGACACGGUCCAGAGUCCUACGGGAGGCACCAGGGGGGAAUAGUGCACAAUGGGCGCAAGCCUUAUGCAGCCAUGCCGCGUGUAUGAAGAAGGCCUUCGGGUUGGAAAGUACUUUCAGCGGGGAGGCGUUACCCGCAGAAGAAGCACCGGCUAACGCCGUGCCAGCAGCCGCGGUAAGAC
rnacentral:rRNA from 1 species